rnacentral:rRNA from 1 species
AUUGAACGCUGGCGGCAUGCUUCACACAUGCAAGUCGAACGGUAACAGGCCGCAAGGUGCUGACGAGUGGCGAACGGGUGAGUAAUGCAUCGGAACGUGCCCAGUCGUGGGGGAUAACGCAGCGAAAGCUGCGCUAAUACCGCAUACGAUCUAUGGAUGAAAGCGGGGGACCUGUAAGGGCCUCGCGCGAUUGGAGCGGCCGAUGUCGGAUUAGGUAGUUGGUGGGGUAAAGGCUCACCAAGCCGACGAUCUGUAGCUGGUCUGAGAGGACGACCAGCCACACUGGGACUGAGACACGGCCCAGACUCCUACGGGAGGCAGCAGUGGGGAAUUUUGGACAAUGGGCGCAAGCCUGAUCCAGCAAUGCCGCGUGCAGGAAGAAGGCCUUCGGGUUGUAAACUGCUUUUGUACGGAACGAAACGGCUCUGGUUAAUACCUGGGGCUAAUGACGGUACCGUAAGAAUAAGCACCGGCUAACUACGUGCCAGCCGCCGCCGUAACAC